UUUUGAUUGUUGCUCUGAGAGUUAAUAUAAUUUCAAUGAUAACUGUCUAACAACCAUCAAAUUU
rnacentral:pre_miRNA from 1 species